CGCGUGGGAACGUGCCUUCUGGUUCGGAAUAACCCUGGGAAACUAGGGCUAAUACCGGAUACGCCCUUAUGGGGAAAGGUUUACUGCCGGAAGAUCGGCCCGCGUCUGAUUAGCUAGUUGGUGGGGUAACGGCCUACCAAGGCGACGAUCAGUAGCUGGUCUGAGAGGAUGAUCAGCCACACUGGGACUGAGACACGGCCCAGACUCCUACGGGAGGCAGCAGUGGGGAAUAUUGGACAAUGGGCGCAAGCCUGAUCCAGCCAUGCCGCGUGAGUGAUGAAGGCCUUAGGGUUGUAAAGCUCUUUUAUCCGGGACGAUAAUGACGGUACCGGAGGAAUAAGCCCCGGCUAACUUCGUG
rnacentral:rRNA from 1 species